rfam:Schistosoma margrebowiei strain Zambia genome assembly, scaffold: SMRZ_contig0002512
AUCCAUCUGACAAGUCCCAAAUAUGACGAAACGCUCGUCCUUGAU